UCUGUGACCUCAUUUACCUCC
rnacentral:miRNA from 1 species